GUCGAACGAUGAUGCCCAGCUUGCUGGGUGGAUUAGUGGCGAACGGGUGAGUAACACGUGAGUAACCUGCCCCUGACUCUGGGAUAAGCGUUGGAAACGACGUCUAAUACUGGAUAUGACUGCCGGCCGCAUGGUCUGGUGGUGGAAAGAUUUUUUGGUUGGGGAUGGACUCGCGGCCUAUCAGCUUGUUGGUGAGGUAAUGGCUCACCAAGGCGACGACGGGUAGCCGGCCUGAGAGGGUGACCGGCCACACUGGGACUGAGACACGGCCCAGACUCCUACGGGAGGCAGCAGUGGGGAAUAUUGCACAAUGGGCGAAAGCCUGAUGCAGCAACGCCGCGUGAGGGAUGACGGCCUUCGGGUUGUAAACCUCUUUUAGUAGGGAAGAAGCGUAAGUGACGGUACCUGCAGAAAAAGCACCGGCUAACUACGUGCCAGCAGCCGCGGUAAUACGUAGGGUGCAAGCGUUGUCCGGAAUUAUUGGGCGUAAAGAGCUCGUAGGCGGUUUGUCGCGUCUGCUGUGAAAUCCCGAGGCUCAACCUCGGGCUUGCAGUGGGUACGGGCAGACUAGAGUGCGGUAGGGGAGAUUGGAAUUCCUGGUGUAGCGGUGGAAUGCGCAGAUAUCAGGAGGAACACCGAUGGCGAAGGCAGAUCUCUGGGCCGUAACUGACGCUGAGGAGCGAAAGCGUGGGGAGCGAACAGGAUUAGAUACCCUGGUAGUCCACGCCGUAAACGUUGGGCGCUAGAUGUAGGGACCUUUCCACGGUUUCUGUGUCGUAGCUAACGCAUUAAGCGCCCCGCCUGGGGAGUACGGCCGCAAGGCUAAAACUCAAAGGAAUUGACGGGGGCCCGCACAAGCGGCGGAGCAUGCGGAUUAAUUCGAUGCAACGCGAAGAACCUUACCAAGGCUUGACAUACACCGGAAACGGCCAGAGAUGGUUGCCCCCUUGUGGUCGGUGUACAGGUGGUGCAUGGUUGUCGUCAGCUCGUGUCGUGAGAUGUUGGGUUAAGUCCCGCAACGAGCGCAACCCUCGUUCUAUGUUGCCAGCGCGUUAUGGCGGGGACUCAUAGGAGACUGCCGGGGUCAACUCGGAGGAAGGUGGGGAUGACGUCAAAUCAUCAUGCCCCUUAUGUCUUGGGCUUCACGCAUGCUACAAUGGCCGGUACAAAGGGCUGCGAUACCGUAAGGUGGAGCGAAUCCCAAAAAGCCGGUCUCAGUUCGGAUUGAGGUCUGCAACUCGACCUCAUGAAGUCGGAGUCGCUAGUAAUCGCAGAUCAGCAACGCUGCGGUGAAUACGUUCCCGGGCCUUGUACACACCGCCCGUCAAGUCAUGAAAGUCGGUAACACCCGAAGCCGGU
rnacentral:rRNA from 2 species